UAGCAGAACUUCAGAAGUCAAACAGUAGACCAUGGACCAAAAGAAUUGGCCGUGGAGAAAAAAAUCCUCAGAGAGAAGAAUAAUUGCAAAUGACAAAGCUGAUCUUUCCAUUAAUGACAACGAUGAGGAGGUACUAUACAUAUCAUGUUUUUACCGUACUCGAGCCUAGCUGUGUAAAAUGUUGUUGGCCUUUUGACAUUUGACAUGAAAUUGUAUCCAAAACCUCAUAGCUAGUUGAUUAUGAUUUGAUUUGCUGAUACUCUUAAAUGU